rnacentral:rRNA from 1 species
UACGGGGGGGGCAAGCGUUGUUCGGAAUUACUGGGCGUAAAGGGCUCGUAGGUGGCCAACUAAGUCAGACGUGAAAUCCCCAGGCUCAACUUGGGAACUGCGUCUGAUACUGGAUGGCUUGAAUUCGGGAGAGGGAUGCAGAAUUCCAGGUGUAGCGGUGAAAUGCGUAGAGAUGUGGAGGAACACCGAUGGCGAAGGCAGCCUCCUGGGCCAGCACUGACGCUCAUGCACGAAAGCGUGGGGAGCAAACAGG